CUUUUGCAUGCUUUAACAAGUACUUUUAUAUGUGUGCAAGUACCUUAACUACCUCUGGGUGCAUCAUUUAUCUGGGGUGCCAGGAUGCUGUAUGGGAAGAAGGUGAGGUUUGUUUAAAAAAAAAAAAAAACUUUAUAAAUGCAGGGAUGCAGGAUGUCUGAUUGGUCAUGACAUUGUAAGUUACAUUUGUUUUUCUCCCUGUGCAAAAAAUACAGAAACAGCCCUGCACAUACCCGUGCAAGUUAAUACUACUGCACAGUUCUUUCCUGUCAUCAGCACUCAAUCUGAAACAUCUGACCUGUGACAUGAGUUUCACCUCCAUCUAAACAUAAUCUCAGUAGGAUUUCUGAGCACACUUCAUUAUUUUCCAUCCUUCAUCUGGAACAGUGUUUUUCUUUAUCUAAGCUCUUGUACAGUGAGCUUUGUACAUUUUUGUGACCCAUGCAUUAGGGUUCUUUCUCUGGCUCAGACAGGGAUGGUGGUUUCAGCCUUGCAUAAUAUAUUUCCUCAUAUAUAUGUAUAUGUUAACAUUUAUUUCUGUCCAGAGUUGCAUUCAUUUUUCCCAAGGUAUUGCUGAUGGGAGAUUUGGACCACUGAUACAACACUUCAAGUCUUCUCCAGCACAUCCCAAGGUUUCUCAUCAGGGAAGAAAAAGAUGAAGCUCCAGUACAGAGGCUCUGGCUGUUGAUGUCUUUCAGCAAAGUUUUUAUAGAUGCAAAUGAGUUUUUACCUUCACUGGAGACUGCUACCAUGGUAACUUGGUUAACUACCAUGGUAACUUGGUACAUCAAUCACCCAGCACCAGGUGAGGAAAGCACAGCAGAGACUCUAUUUUCUUAGGAAACUCAAGCACUCCCACCUCCCUCAACACUUGCUGGUGAAUUUCUACAGAGCAACCAUCGAAAGCCUCCUGACCUAUUGCUGCACAGUCUGGUUCACCAGUUGUUCAGCUCAGGACAGGAGAGAUUUGCAGUGAGUGGUGAGAGUGGCAGAAAAAAUUAUUGGCACCUCACUACCCCCCCUCGAUGACAUCAACAACCGUCGACUGUGGAAAAAAGCUGUCUGCAUCUCAGAGGACCCUACUCACCCGGGAAACCCUCUGUUUUCACCCCUUCCUUCCAAAAAAAGAUUCAGACAAUUGAAAACAAGGACGAAUAGAUUGAAAUAUAGUUUUUUUCCUCAGGCUGUGAAAGCUAUCAAACCUUCCCAAGUGUGAGGAAUAUCUAGAGGAGCGAAAGACAAUUAUCCAUUUUUGAUGGACAUUCUCAGGGAACUUCCCCUACCCCCACCCCUUUGCACCUGCCACUUUAAAUAAUAUUAUUUAUUGCACUUUUAAUAUUCUCCUCAGUAUGAAUAUAUUGUCCUGAAUUAUCUUAUUGAUAUGGUGCUAAGUAUGUAUGUGUA